rnacentral:ncRNA from 1 species
UUUUUUGCGUUUCUUAAUUUUGUAUUCCGCUAUUCCGACGAAUUUUUUUUAGUCUUGCUUAUCUUUACGGGAGGCAGCAGUGGGGAAUUUUCCGCAAUGGGCGAAAGCCUGACGGAGCAAUGCCGCGUGGAGGUGGAAGGCCUACGGGUCGUCAACUUCUAUUCUCGGAGAAGAAACAAUGACGGUAUCUGAGGAAUAAGCAUCGGCUAACUCUGUGCCAGCAGCCGCGGUAGAGGCCAA